GCCUGGAUAGCUCAGUUGGUUAGAGUGCAGUGCUGAAAACGCCAAGGUUGCUGGUUUGAUCCCCGUGUGGGACA